ensembl:snRNA U6 U6 spliceosomal RNA
GUGUUCACUUCAGCAGCACAUACUCUAAAAUUGGAACGAUACAGAGAAGAUUAGCAUGGCCCAUGCAAAGGUUGACAUGCAAAUUCAUGAAGGAAUCACACAAAGA